rnacentral:lncRNA from 1 species
GGUACUGCGGCCCGCCAGGCCUAGGGGGAUGGGCUCCACCUGGCGCCGGCUCCGGGCCGCUUUCCCCUGGUGGGCGGGCUAAAAGCUCCCAGAGUUUCCGGAGUUCCGAGGACUCGGAGGAAACGCCAGUGGCUGCCGAUGUUCACGGCUUCCCGGCGGAAAUUGCUAACUUGUCUUGAGUUGCUUGAGGGCUGAUUCUGGAUUCCUUUUGCUCAGCGGUUUUUACAGCUAGGCCUCGAAGGAGGCUGGGUAUGGACGCGGUCUGAUUUCGGCCUGACCCGAGGACUCAGAUCCUCGGGCCAAAAGUGGGGAGAGGGAAAAUAUUAAUACAGGAAAGGGAAGACGUUUGCAAAUAGCUUGACAAAUUGAUAUUUGCUUUCUUUGUAGAUUUUUCCUCAUCAAUGCCUCUUCUC